GACGAACGCUGGCGGCGUGCCUAAUACAUGCCAGUAGAACGCUGAAGGAGGAGCUUGCUUCUCUGGAUGAGUUGCGAACGGGUGAGUAACGCGUAGGUAACCUGCCUGGUAGCGGGGGUUAACUAUUGGAAACGAUAGCUAAUACCGCAUAAUAGCAGUUGUUGCAUGACAACUGUUUGAAAGGUGCAAUUGCACCACUACCAGAUGGACCUGCGUUGUAUUAGCUAGUUGGUGGGGUAACGGCCCACCAAGGCGACGAUACAUAGCCGAGCUGAGAGGGGGAUCGGCCACACUGGGACUGAGACACGGCCCAGACUCCUACGGGAGGCAGCAGGAGGGAAUCUUCGGAAAUGGACGGAAGGCUGACCGAGCAAAGCCGCGUGAGUGAAGAAGGGUUUCGGAUCGUAAAGCUCUGUUGUAAGGGAAGAAAGAGGGUGAGGGUGGAAAGUUCACACUGUGACGGUAUCUUACCAGAAAGGGACGGCUAACUACGUG
rnacentral:rRNA from 1 species